CGGAACUUCUUUUCUCCUGGUGCAAAAAUGAUUUCCUUUAUGACCUUAUUUCCAUCAGAUUCCAUUUUGGAUAGUAGCUCCUCACGGUAUGGCCUAUCAUAACCUGUCACCCGAAGGAAAUUUGCAUAGAGUGGUUCAUCUAGCACUUCCAUGUCAUCUCUCUGGGCAAAAGAGUACAUAAGGCUAGUGCUGAGCGAUCUCGGAGUAGACCAUAAGUGAAUCACCUCCACCUCCCCCAUCGCAAGACACAGAGCUCGAGAAUCAAAAUGCG
rnacentral:misc_RNA from 1 species